AUUGGUGCGAGACCAAGGACCCUGGUGUUCUUCCAGUCAUUGGAGCCAUAUCAUUUUGGUGUGUUGGCCAGGAAAGGGAAUUCAUUCAUCGGACUGAAGCGAUCAAACUCCAAACGAUGCUGUGAGCAGAGCCACACAUGAAUGUGCCAUUCUUCUGAGGACCCUUAGACCAACCUCUGGAGAAGGCCCAACUGCUGCUCCCCAACAUGAAAUCCCUUUUCAACAGGAAGUAACCAGAAAGAAUCAUCAUCAAACACCCCCUAAGAGCAGUUAGGUUCACUUCUGUUGUGGGGGAAAUGAUAAGGAGUUAUUAAGAAAUUAUUUUAAGCAGAUAGUAAGGGUAAAAGUUCUUGGAAAUUUUCGUGUAAUAAGAAACAACCCCCAAACCAUCUCUUUUCUAACAGAAAAGGCAGCUUGAAGGGCCAGGCCAGAAAGCUUUGAUAUGCAAAUGCCAACCAUCUGAAACUGGGUUCACUCAAUUUGGUAAUUUCUGCCAUCUUCUCCUUGUCACCAAGGUGUACCAAGUGUCAUGACUACCUCCAGAUAACACCAUGUGCCCAGAACGUCAUGGCGACCCAUAUUUGCAUAUUAAAGAGCUAAGGUGGGAGGGCCAGGUUUUUCACAGGUUGAGUAAAUGACACACCUGGU